AGAUUGAGAAAUUGAAAGCUGAAGCUACCAUGGAAAGGAAUGAUUUUGCAUCUCUUAUAGAGGGGAUGGAAAACCAAGCAGAUGCUGUAUGAAAAGUGCUACCCAAUGCUCCCUUUGUACCGCCUGGAGCCAUAUUGCAUCCCUCUGCAGCAGUUCUGAGACCGCAUCAAAGACCAGACCACAGCCAAUCUACAUUGAGAGUUUGAAGAGUGCAACAUGACAGUACAUCAUUGCAACGAUUGACAGUGGAUGAGGGCCUGACGUGUUGUGGACAACAUAUUCUAGGUGUGAAACUUCUGUCCACCACAGAUUAGUUCUGUCUUCACUUUCUAAGACUGGGAUAUUGAAACACCACAUUCUCUUCCUUUUAAAACUUGACGUGCCUACUUACUGUGUUGCCUCUUUUGUGGCCCAAAUGUAUUCUUCAUCAAAUACAAAUGGUGGAUGUAACAAGAAGUAUUACUUCACAAUUAGUACACACUUAAAAUGUUAUAAUUAUAAGAGUGAUUGUCAUUGAGAACAAUUUAAAAAUAUGUGCCUGAAUGUUUGUCUGAACUAAAAUGUUUAUAUUUAUAUGUAUCAAAGUAUCUGACUUUCUUAUCAGAUUAAGUUGAUCUUAUUUUUGAGAAAUGUUAUCCUCUGGUCUUGUUUAGUGUAAUUGAUGUUGGCAACACUUUUCAAUGAAUACUGUGGUUAAUAGCUAGUGCAUUACAAACAUACUAUACAUUUGUAAAAUUAACUGUCACUGACUAACUUAAAAUGUUUAUUUGUUGUCUGAUUUGGAAAGUUUUAUCUUGUAUCUGACAUUUCUGCUAGUCUUGACCGUAUGAUUUUCAAUCAUCCCAGGUGUAGUUGAUGUUGGUAACACUUUGUAAUGUAUACUGUAUUGUAUCUUAUAGUUGUAGUGCAUUACAAGGCAUCUGUGUCAUUUAAUCCUCUAAAUUUAGUUUAUGAACAUUUUGAGAACAUUUUGUUGUGCCUCUGUGCAUGUUCUCUACCCUGACAACAUUUGACAAAUUAAAUUGCUAAAAUUUUUUACAUCUGUCUGUUUUAUUUCAGUUUCAGUAUUAUUUUUGUCAUAUUAACACAUUAAUUAGCAGUUUCUGAUCAUUUUGAGUUAUACACAUAAUGUGUUUAAAUGACACAUUGUGUGUUAAAUUACAUUACACAGUAGAUGUGUGAUCCAUCUUAACACACAAACU